rnacentral:rRNA from 1 species
AGUGAACGCUGGCGGUAGGCCUAACACAUGCAAGUCGAACGGCAGCACAGUAAGAGCUUGCUCUUACGGGUGGCGAGUGGCGGACGGGUGAGGAAUACAUCGGAAUCUACUUUUUCGUGGGGGAUAACGUAGGGAAACUUACGCUAAUACCGCAUACGACCUACGGGUGAAAGCAGGGGAUCUUCGGACCUUGCGCGAUUGAAUGAGCCGAUGUCGGAUUAGCUAGUUGGCGGGGUAAAGGCCCACCAAGGCGACGAUCCGUAGCUGGUCUGAGAGGAUGAUCAGCCACACUGGAACGGAGACACGGUCCAGACUCCGACGGGAGGCAGCAGUGGGGAAUAUUGGACAAUGGGCGCAAGCCUGAUCCAGCCAUACCGCGUGGGUGAAGAAGGCCUUCGGGUUGUAAAGCCCUUUUGUUGGGAAAGAAAAGCAGCAGGUUAAUACCCCGCUGUUCUGACGGUACCCAAAGAAUAAGCACCGGCUAACUUCGUG